UACGGCCGCAAGGUUAAAACUCAAAUGAAUUGACGGGGGCCCGCACAAGCGGUGGAGCAUGUGGUUUAAUUCGAUGCAACGCGAAGAACCUUACCUGGUCUUGACAUCCACAGAACUUUCCAGAGAUGGAUUGGUGCCUUCGGGAACUGUGAGACAGGUGCUGCAUGGCUGUCGUCAGCUCGUGUUGUGAAAUGUUGGGUUAAGUCCCGCAACGAGCGCAACCCUUAUCCUUUGUUGCCAGCGGUCCGGCCGGGAACUC
rnacentral:rRNA from 1 species